GACGAACGCUGGCGGCGUGCCUAAUACAUGCAAGUAGAACGCAGUUGCGAACGGGUGAGUAACGCGUAGGUAACUGCCUCAUAGCGGGGGAUAACUAUUGGAAACGAUAGCUAAUACCGCAUACUUUGAGAUGGACCUGCUUUGUAUUUGCUAGUUGGUGAGGUAAAGGCUCACCAAGGCGACGAUACAUUGCCGACCUGAGAGGGUGAGCGGCCAAAAUGGGACUGAGACAAGGCCCAGACUCCUACGGGAGGUAGCAGUAGGGAAACUUCGGAAAUGGACGGAAGGCUGACCGAGCCACGCCGGGGUAGUGGAGAAGGUUUUCGGAUCGUAAAGCUCUGUUGUUAGAGAAGCGGUAACUACCCAGAAAGGGACGGCUAACUACGUGCCAGCAGCCGCGGUAAUUC
rnacentral:rRNA from 1 species